ensembl:ncRNA lncRNA:CR43423 long non-coding RNA:CR43423
GGAUUUUCUUCUUGAAGAGAUCUUUAAAUUUACUUGAUUUAAUCUAAUAAUAUAAAAUUCUAUUCGGUUAAGCCUGUGCACCUUUCUGAUUAGCAAUUUCCCUGAAAUACACCGGGCGCCAGGUGUAUUUACGAUGGCCCACAAUCAAACCAAUCAAUCCAGCCAACUGUCCCCGUAUCAAUGCCAUCCAUUGACAAGCUUUCGUCGCUUUCGCGGCCCUCCAGUGGAGCAACUCAGGAAUCAGUGGAUGGACGAUCGUCUGAGUGAUAAGGUUUUCGGGGCGGCUACUUGACGCAAGAAUUUCUGGAAUUUCGAAAGUGUACACACACCUGUGUGGACCCCUCGGUAGACGCGGAAUAAGGCCCGGAGCAACCAGACCCAAGCAGCCCAGUCACAAAGCACGCGCUCAAUCUACGGCUUAUCAACAGGCCAACGACGCAGGGCCGCGAUAUACCACCACUUGAGGAGCACACCUAUGACGUGGAGGGACUGGCAGAGGCACUGGUACUGGCACUGGCAUUACCGUUUUCCUUCCCAUUCGCAUACCCAUUUCCAUUUCCAGCCGGCUGCAUGGUCAGCGAUCGUACGGUAGAUGCGAUCCGAUUCGAUGGCAAAAGAAUUCCCCCUUUCGGUGUAAUUGCUUUUGGCCUGGUCGAAAGUCGGCCCGAACGGAACCGAACCGAACCGAAGCACACCACACCGAACCUAAUGAUAAUACCCGCGAUCUAAUAGGAAGCACGUGAUGCGCAUACUGCCCACCGAUCAU